GCAUUAAGUGAUGAUGAUCUGAUCUUGCAUGUACUCUCUGGUUUAGGUCCAGACUAUAACUUUGUUGCUACCUAUAUCACUGGACAAGUAGGAGUAGGAAAAAUGAAUGUAAAUGAAGCUUAUGCUAUGCUUCUAAC
rfam:Citrus sinensis cultivar Ridge Pineapple sweet orange scaffold03865_contig_1, whole genome shotgun sequence.